rnacentral:tRNA from 1 species
ACAGGUCUAGUUAACAAAUAACAUCAACUUGUCAAGUUGGAAUAGCCAACAGCGAUCUGUA